AAUAGAAUUGCUGGGUCAUAUGGUAAUUUUAUAUUUAGCUUUUUGAGGAACCACUAAACUCUUUUCCAGAGCAGCUGUACCCUUUUACAUACCCACCAGCAAU
rnacentral:pre_miRNA from 1 species